AAAGUCCUCCGUGAACCUUCAUCCUGCUCUUGUAACCCGCGUAGUUCGCAAUCUCAGAGACCUCUGGCUACGUGCGAACAUUGGAACAGUUACAAUCGAGCGGUAGUUCUAUAGGCAAUGUUUCCCCAAGCAGUCAGUGUCGGAAAGUGUCAUUGAUUGUGCAAGGAUAGCGCUUCUACGAUUCCUGUAGACCGUACACUCGGGCAGGAGCUUUGCCAAAGGGUCCCCAUGCCCCCUAAUAACCCCACAGUUUAAUGUGAAGCUCAAUGUAAUACAUUGGGUAAAAAAACCGAACAACUGUUAACAAUGGAUAUCUUGGUUCUC
rnacentral:misc_RNA from 1 species